rnacentral:rRNA from 1 species
CCGCCAGUGGCGAAGGCGCUCCGCUAGAACGGGUCCGACGGUGAGGGACGAAGGCCAGGGGAGCGAACCGGAUUAGAUACCCGGGUAGUCCUGGCUGUAAAGGAUGCGGGCUAGGUGUCGGGUGAGCUUCGAGCUCGCCCGGUGCCGAAGGGAAGCCGUUAAGCCCGCCGCCUGGGAAGUACGGCCGCAAGGCUGAAACUUAAAGGAAUUGGCGGGGGAGCACUACAACGGGUGGAGCCUGCGGUUUAACUGGAUUCAACGCCGGGAAGCUUACCGGGGGAGACAGCGGGAUGAAGGUCGGGCUGAAGACCCUACCAGACUAGCUGAGAGGUGGUGCAUGGCCGCCGUCAGUUCGUACUGUGAAGCAUCCUGUUAAGUCAGGCAACGAGCGAGACCCGCGCCCUCAGUUGCCAGCGGAUCCCUUCGGGGAUGCCGGGCACACUGGGGGGACUGCCGGCGCUAAGCCGGAGGAAGGUGCGGGCAACGGCAGGUCCGUAUGCCCCGAAUCCCCCGGGCUACACGCGGGCUACAAUGGCCGGGACAAUGGGUACCGACCCCGAAAGGGGAAGGUAAUCUCCUAAACCCGGUCUAACCCGGGAUCGAGGGCUGCAACUCGCCCUCGUGAACCUGGAAUCCGUAGUAAUCGCGCCUCA